rnacentral:rRNA from 1 species
UACGGAGGGUGCGAGCGUUGUCCGGAAUCACUGGGCGUAAAGAGCUCGUAGGCGGCUUGUCGCGUCGUCCGUGAAAACCAGGGGCUCAACCCCUGGCUUGCGGUCGAUACGGGCAGGCUAGAGUUCGGUAGGGGAGACUGGAAUUCCUGGUGUAGCGGUGAAAUGCGCAGAGUAUCAGGAGGAACACCUGCGGCGAAGGCGGGUUGCUGGGCUGACACUGACGCUGGACAGCGCGAAAGCUAGGGGAGCGAAACGGG